UCUGGUGAUUUCUUUCGUGCAGUGACAUGUU
rnacentral:piRNA from 1 species